GACGAACCGAGCAAACGUUCUUCGGAAUCACUGGGCUUAAAGGGCGCGUAGGCGGGCAUCCCAGUCUGUGGUGAAAUCCGGCAGCUUAACUGUCGAACUGCCGUGGAUACUGGGUGUCUCGAGGGAGGUAGGGGCGUGCGGAACUAUUGGUGGAGCGGUGAAAUGCGUUGAUAUCAAUAGGAACACCGAUGGCGAAGGCGGCUCUCUGGAACGCAACUGACGCUGAGACGCGAAAGCGUGGGGAGCAAACAGG
rnacentral:rRNA from 1 species